rnacentral:lncRNA from 1 species
GGAAGAAGAGGCUGUGGCCGUGGCUGAGGCUGCAACUGCAGCAGUGCAGUUGGGAAAGAAGAGAAGGAAAGGAAGAAGAAGAGAAAGGAAAAGGGAAGAAGAGAGGCAGAGGAGAAGGGGAGGCAGGCAGUGGCAGCUGCAGCGGGAAGAGAAGGAGAGGAAAUAGAGCAGGGGAGGAAGAAGAGGCUGCGGUUGUGGUGGCUGCGGCCAGGGCUGCGAGUGCGACUGCGACAGUUGCAGCUGGGAAAGAAAGGAAAGGAAAGGGGAAAAAAGUGGCUGCGGACGGAAUUGCGGCCACAGCGACAGAGACUGCGUAUGCAGUAGUUGUGUCUGUGAAAGAAGGGGAGGAAGAAGGCAGUGCGGUGGAAGGGGCAGCGACUGUGGCGGCAACAGCGGCGGUGGCUGUGGCAGCUGCGUUUGAGAAAGAAAAAGAAGGAAUGAGAGUAAGAGAGAGUAGGUGACUAUGCCUCGAUGUUCGACACGUGGUGUAGUUGCGAAGAAAGAAAGAAAACAAGUGCAC